rnacentral:rRNA from 1 species
UCGGUCCCUAUCCGUCGUGGGCGUAGGAAAUUUGAGAGGAGCUGUCCUUAGUACGAGAGGACCGGGAUGGACACACCGCUGGUGUACCAGUUGUCUUGCCAAAGGCAUCGCUGGGUAGCUAUGUGUGGACGGGAUAAGUGCUGAAAGCAUCUAAGCAUGAAGCCCCCCUCAAGAUGAGAUUUCCCAUAGCGCAAGCUAGUAAGAUCCCUGAAAGAUGAUCAGGUUGAUAGGUCAGAGGUGGAAGCGUGGCGACAUGUGUAGCUGACUGAUACUAAUCGAUCGAGGACUUAACCAAAC